CCCUUAGAUGUCCUGGGCUGCACGCGCGCUACACUGAUGUGUCCAGUAAGCACCUAACCUCUUCCGAAAGGAACGGGUAACCUUUGCAAAGCACAUCGUGAUGGGGAUAGAUUAUUGCAAUUAUUAGUCUUGAACGAGGAAUUCCUAGUAAGCACAAGUCAUCAGCUUGUGUUGAUUACGUCCCUGCCCUUUGUACACACCGCCCGUCGCUCCUACCGAUUGAGCGGUCCGGUGAAGACUCAGGAGAUGGGCGCGUGCUUGGUUCGCCAACUGCGCUGCCUGCCAAAUUUGUCUAAACCUUAUCGCUUAGAGGAAGGAGAAGUCGUAACA
rnacentral:rRNA from 1 species